rnacentral:rRNA from 1 species
CAGCAGUAGCCACGGUAAUACAGAGGGUGCGAGCGUUAAUCGGAUUUACUGGGCGUAAAGCGUGCGUAGGCGGCUUCUUAAGUCGGAUGUGAAAUCCCUGAGCUUAACUUAGGAAUUGCAUUCGAUACUGGGAAGCUAGAGUAUGGGAGAGGAUGGUAGAAUUCCAGGUGUAGCGGUGAAAUGCGUAGAGAUCUGGAGGAAUACCGAUGGCGAAGGCAGCCAUCUGGCCUAAUACUGACGCUGAGGUACGAAAGCAUGGGGAGCAAACAGGAUUAGAUACCCGUGUAGUCCCUGUCUCUUAUAC